AAUAAAAUAGCGAACAAGUUUUUGGCGCCGUUGCCGGGGAUUGAUUUUUAUCAGUACUAUCUGUUGAUUAUUUGAUACUAAUAUGGUAUUUUUUUUUGUUAUUUUUAUUUAUUUUCUCUAUUUUUCUUUUGGUUCUUAUUUUUUGGUUCUGGAGUUUUUCCAGGUAGUUCAUGAGCAGCGAUGGAGAUUUCUGAUAGCGUGAGCACUACAUGCUAUCAAUGGCCAGCCGAGAGGGUAUAUUUGGAGAAUGUUGCUGCCACCACAAAUUCUGAUUCAGUUACUUUGUUAGCCACUCAAAUCGCUGCAUUGUCUUCCAAGAUAAAUGCUUUGAGUAUUGCUAAGAUGGAGUCAGUUGUGAACAAUCCGAUGAUGA
rnacentral:lncRNA from 1 species